UCCGGCGUCGUUAACUUUUACAAAAAUCUUCUCCUCUGAAACUACUGGGCCAAAUUACACCAAACUUGGCCGAAAUCAUCAUUGGGGUAUCUAGUUUAAAAAAUGUGUCCGGUGACCCGGCCAACCAUCCAAGAUGGCCGCCAUGGCUAAAAAUAGAACAUAGGGGUAAAAUGCAGUUUUUGGCUUAUAACUCAAAAACCAAAGCAUUUAGAGCAAAUCUGACAAGGGGUAAACUUGUGUAACAGGUCAAGAUCUAUCUGCCCUG
rnacentral:lncRNA from 1 species